rnacentral:rRNA from 1 species
GGCUCAGAUUGAACGCUGGCGGCAGGCCUAACACAUGCAAGUCGAGCGGUAGCACAGGGAGCUUGCUCUUGGGUGACGAGCGGCGGACGGGUGAGUAAUGUCUGGGAAACUGCCUGAUGGAGGGGGAUAACUACUGGAAACGGUAGCUAAUACCGCAUAACGUCGCAAGACCAAAGAGGGGGACCUUCGGGCCUCUUGCCAUCAGAUGUGCCCAGAUGGGAUUAGCUAGUAGGUGGGGUAACGGCUCACCUAGGCGACGAUCCCUAGCUGGUCUGAGAGGAUGACCAGCCACACUGGAACUGAGACACGGUCCAGACUCCUACGGGAGGCAGCAGUGGGGAAUAUUGCACAAUGGGCGCAAGCCUGAUGCAGCCAUGCCGCGUGUAUGAAGAAGGCCUUCGGGUUGUAAAGUACUUUCAGCGGGGAGGAAGGCGUUGUGGUUAAUAACCACAGCGAUUGACGUUACCCGCAGAAGAAGCACCGGCUAACUCCGUGCCAGCAGCCGCGGUAAUACGGAGGGUGCAAGCGUUAAUCGGAAUUACUGGGCGUAAAGCGCACGCAGGCGGUCUGUCAAGUCGGAUGUGAAAUCCCCGGGCUCAACCUGGGAACUGCAUUCGAAACUGGCAGGCUAGAGUCUUGUAGAGGGGGGUAGAAUUCCAGGUGUAGCGGUGAAAUGCGUAGAGAUCUGGAGGAAUACCGGUGGCGAAGGCGGCCCCCUGGACAAAGACUGACGCUCAGGUGCGAAAGCGUGGGGAGCAAACAGGAUUAGAUACCCUGGUAGUCCACGCCGUAAACGAUGUCGACUUGGAGGUUGUGCCCUUGAGGCGUGGCUUCCGGAGCUAACGCGUUAAGUCGACCGCCUGGGGAGUACGGCCGCAAGGUUAAAACUCAAAUGAAUUGACGGGGGCCCGCACAAGCGGUGGAGCAUGUGGUUUAAUUCGAUGCAACGCGAAGAACCUUACCUACUCUUGACAUCCAGAGAACUUUCCAGAGAUGGAUUGGUGCCUUCGGGAACUCUGAGACAGGUGCUGCAUGGCUGUCGUCAGCUCGUGUUGUGAAAUGUUGGGUUAAGUCCCGCAACGAGCGCAACCCUUAUCCUUUGUUGCCAGCGGUUAGGCCGGGAACUCAAAGGAGACUGCCAGUGAUAAACUGGAGGAAGGUGGGGAUGACGUCAAGUCAUCAUGGCCCUUACGAGUAGGGCUACACACGUGCUACAAUGGCGCAUACAAAGAGAAGCGACCUCGCGAGAGCAAGCGGACCUCAUAAAGUGCGUCGUAGUCCGGAUUGGAGUCUGCAACUCGACUCCAUGAAGUCGGAAUCGCUAGUAAUCGUAGAUCAGAAUGCUACGGUGAAUACGUUCCCGGGCCUUGUACACACCGCCCGUCACACCAUGGGGAGUGGGUUGCAAAAGAAGUAGGUAGCUUAACCUUCGGGAGGGCGCUUACCACUUUGUGAUUCAUGACUGGGGUGAA